ACCUGAUUUCAUUUGCCACGUUUCUCCUUUCUUGGUCGCGCCCACGUGACCACCUUCCCCUAAAUAAAGUUGAACAGUUCUAGGCUGUGCUCAGUUGCUGAGGGAGACAGCACUAACAGUGAGCUUCCCUGGCUGCAGCAGUCCUCUGCUGGCACCCGACCCCCUCAACACACACAGACAGCCCUGCGCCCUUGGAUCUGAGGCAUCAUCCAGAGCUCAGCUCAGUUCCUAGUACACGAACAGCACAGUCAUCCAGCUGGUGCCAAGGACGCCGGUACUAAACCUCCAAUCUCUUCACGAGGGCCCUCUACCCCAACACAAAUUCUGGAGGUAACAGCUCAGACACCACGCCCCGCCUGGAAAAGGGGUGGGAAAGCAGAAAGCUGACCCUCCGGGAGCCCAGGGGCAGUGAUCCCCCAGCCCAAACCUGAGAGCGCUUUUGAGACACACAGAUCCGUAUCUGGCAUCUCCGUCUGACGACAGUAGCAGCUGCACCAACCAUCUGAAUGGUCCAGAAGAUGGAAGCCUGAAGGAGAGAAUAGCGCCCUGAGACUGUCUGUGCCUUCUGCAUUGAACCUCAGGAGCCCAGUAUUAAUGGAAAGUUGACUCCCCUCUCUUCAAAACCAGCUUCUGAGGCCACCUACUGGAGAUUGCUGCCAUUUUCCAGAACAGAAAAUCCAAGUCCACUCUCCAGCGUCUUCAAGCCAGGAAGCUGUGAGAGGAACACUUUCAUUGUUGCUUUUUCUUCCAAUGAGAUCACCUUUCAACUUAGCAUUCAUGCCUGCCUUCUGGACUUCUGAGGACUAUGAGAAUGUUGAUAAGGUGAAUGCAACCAUAAAGGCUGAAGCCGCCCAUCUGGAGGCUCCUCUGUCCUCCACGGUGGCCUUGAUAAUAGUGUUGAUAAUUAUUUUCUCAUUGGUAAUGACCUCCUUUGUGACAUACUGUUUUCACAAGUGGAGGCUGAAGGGUCG